rnacentral:rRNA from 1 species
UACGGAGGGUGCGAGCGUUAAUCGGAAUUACUGGGCGUAAAGCGUACGCAGGCGGUUUGUUAAGCGAGAUGUGAAAGCCCCGGGCGUCAACCUGGGAACGUGCAUUUUCGUAACUGGCAAACUAGAGUGUGAUAGAGGGUGGUAGAAUUUCUAGGUGUAGCGGUGAAAUGCGUAGAGAUCUGAAGGAAUACCGAUGGCGAAGGCAGCCACCUGGGUCAACACUGACGCUCAUGUACGAAAGCGUGGGGAGCAAACAGGAUUAGAUACCCCUGUAGU